UUUGUUUAGAUCCCAAACUUGUGAAAAACAAGUCAUGAAAAGAAGCCAAGAGGAAGAAGCAAUCCAGUGUCCAUUAACGGAUGGGUGGAUGGAUGCACACAGUGUGAGCCAGGCAUGCAAUGGAAUAUAAUUCAUGGUUUAAAAAGAAAGAAAUUCAGACAUAGGCUACCACACGGCUGGUCACUGAUGGCACUAUGCUAAGUGAAAUAAGCCAGUCGAAGAACAAACUCGGCAUGACUCCCUAUGCAGGAGGUUCCCAGAGCUGUCAGAUUCACAGUGUCAGAGAUUGUAAUAGUGGCUGCCAAGGGUGCAGUGAGGGGAAAUAGGGAGCUAUUUAAUAGGAGCAGAGUUUCAGCUUUGCAAGAUGACCAUAACUAAAAUUGACUGUACAAUAGUACGAGUGUAAUCAAUGCCACCAUAGGUGAAAUCAGCCAGACUCGGAAAGACAGACGGCACAUUUGAUACUUGUGCAUCCUAGCAAGUAUACAGAUGUGUAAGUAUACAGAUGUGUAAGUAUACAGAUGUGUAUGUAUACAGAGAGUAGGAACCCAGUGGGGAUGCAGGAGAAAAGGGAAAGUAUGGGGUGAAUACGAUCGGGGUGCAUGGUAUACUUGAAAGAAAUUGUCUUUAUGAAACCCAGUAUUACAUAGAAUGAACACACACCAAUAAAGUUUUUAAUAGAAUGUCUAUAGCUUUGGGUAAGAUACAAUAAGAUGUGUGUAUGAUAUAUUUUAAAAAAGCACAGCAUUUUGCACGACAACUAAAAAAGCAUCAGAAAAUGGAAAGGGUGAGAGUAACUCAUAUUUUGUGUAUUUUGCUACAGCUGAAGACUAAGCAGAUUGGAAAUGCUGACUUGCGGUCUGCCCAGAGAACAAGGGCCCAGAAGAGUGCAUUAUCACAAACCCUAUCAUGGGUGGAGGCCAGACCAGUGUGAGCUAUACAGCAACACUGUGCCUAUCUGGGGGGGGGGGUGUCCUUCCAAGGCAGGCCUCUCCAGGGACUGCAAGUUCAUGUGUUGGGGAGAGGCAAGGAGCAGCACCAGGAUGACUACAGUGUGUUGUUCCUGUCUCCAGGUUCCUGCCCUGAGUUCCCAUAAGCAUUAUACAGUGGAAGUACAGCUGGCAGAUCAUAAACAACCUCGAUACUUCACGAUGGAAAUGACUGGGACAUUUAAGAUAUUUCGGACUGUUGGAGAGACUUUGUAAUUUUAGAGAAGCUUUGAACUUUGAAGAGACAGUUUUUGGCAAGACCAGCUAUCUACACCAAGGAACACCACCAGUGACUUAGCUCCAGAUGCCGAGAUUCUAUCACAAGAACAUAAACAACAUGAGUAACCAAAGAAGCGUGUCUCCUCGAGACAUCAAACACCCCACCAUAAUGUUCCCUUGGCUGAUGUGCAAGACAGUGAUUUUACAAUUUCAGUUAUAGAUGUGCCUAGAAAUAAAUCCACAUUAUCUAUGGAA